GAAAUGGUGAAUGAUACUACAUUAUCUCCAAGCAAUGACUCCGAAUUAAUAACACUUAGACAGCAAACACUUCAAGACACCCCGAUUUUAUAUUCCUGUGGUAAUCACUGUGGUCACAAAGUUUCUGCAGAUUUUUCUGAUCUAGACUAUAACAGGGAUUCUGAGCUAUCCCAGAGACCACGCUAUCUGCCCUAAACGGUGGAGUCUCAAAAUGUCAGCAUGCCUCAGAUUCUGAAAGCGUGUAUCAUUAAAAUAUUACACCAUUGUUUAAUGGGAUGUCUACAAUCAGAUGAAGAUCAUAUUGAUAAUACCAGUGAAACAGAGCUUAUUAACAGCUUAUGCUUUAGACUUUCUAUGCCUCAUGUUCUCUGGAUCAUCAUCAGUAUUUCUGACAAAAUGAAUAACUUAUAUUUCAUCCAGGAUUCCCUUGGUGAUCUCAAGACAUUCAUACAGCAUAUCGAAAAGAACAGUAAACCACUGUCAUUAAUGUCAAAGAUUGAAACUGAAUUGCCAUUGUCUCUGAAGAGGUUCAUAUGCCAGAAUGUAACAGAAAUUAAUUACAAGAAACUGUUAAUGCUAUGAAAUU